UACAGAGGGUGCGAGCGUUAAUCGGAAUUACUGGGCGUAAAGCGUGCGUAGACGGCUAUCUAAGUCGGGUGUGAAAGCCCCGGGCUCAACCUGGGAAUUGCAGUCGAUACUACUCAGCUAGAGUAUGGGAGAGGGUAGUGGAAUUCCCGGUGUAGCGGUGAAAUGCGUAGAUAUCGGGAGGAACAUCAGUGGCGAAGGCGGCUACCUGGCCCAAUACUGACACUCAGGUGCGACAGCGUGGGGAGCAAACAGG
rnacentral:rRNA from 1 species